AUCGAACGCUGGCGGCAGGCUUAACACAUGCAAGUCGAACGAGUGGCGGACGGGUGAGUAAUGCUUGGGAACCUAGCUUAUGGAGGGGGAUAACUAGGGGAAACUGUAGCUAAUACCGCUUACUAUAGGUUGAGCCCAAGUGGGAGUAGGUAGUUGGUGAGGUAAAGGCUCACCAAGCCGACGAUCGCUAGCUGGUCUGAGAGGGUGACCAGCCACACUGGGACUGAGACACGGCCCAGACUCCUACGGGAGGCAGCAGUGGGGAAUAUUGCGCAAUGGGGGCAACCUGACGCAGCCAUGCCGCGUGAAUGAAGAAGGCCUUCGGGUUGUAAAGUUCUUUCGGUAGCGAGGCGUUAACUACAGAGAAAGCACCGGCUAACUCCGUGCCAGCAGCCGCGGUAAUUU
rnacentral:rRNA from 1 species